AUGAGCAACCGCCAGACUCGCUUAUCUCCUUUCCGACAAUCGGCUGGUGUCGAAUAAUGGGUUUUCUGCGCUAUCUUUUCGCUCUAGCUUUUGCAGUUUCCAGUGAAGCGUCUAAUUUGGAGCCCUACAAUCGGAGGCUCAUUGUGUCUAACGUGUGCGAGCAAUAAUUGCCUAAAGAGAACGACUGCACGACUUGCCUCUCGUCCUGUACAAAAAGGAAACAUAACAACGCAUACAAAGUGAACAAGUGAACAUUACGUCUCACCGGCUGCUGUGAUACUGCAUCAGCCAUACGAAGAUGUCCAGAGCACUACUGCUGUGUUUGCCCUUCGUCUUUGCUCUGCUGGCUCAGAACGAGGCCUUUGUCUGUGAAUCAGACGCCUGCGACCAAAUCACUUGCGAAGACAUAUCGGAAGUGAACUGCGACGGACGUAUUGUGAAGAACGGUGGCCUCUGCGGAUGUUGUGACGUCUGCAUUGAACAGCUUGAGCAUGGAGAGAAGUGCCUCGAGCAUGUGUUGACGUUGCUGCCACUGAAAACUGAAUGCAAGGAGGGCCUCGUCUGCCACCAACAAAGACACGUCUGUGUUGCAGAAGACGAAGUUGUGUGAUGAACGGCCACUUCGUUUACUUGUAGUUUACUUCCACAGUCCUUUGUUUCUGUGAACUUCUUUAUUAUUUUGAGGUUGUACUUAAAUGUAAUAAAAUCAAAGGUCAAAUACAUAAUGAUUAUGAGUG